ACUCUCCUCGAUUUUUCAGUUUCCCUCUCACCCUAGUCUCUCUCGUUGGCUGUGAGUUCAAAUUCCCUUUGAAAUCGUUCUUCAAAUAUCAUUAUCAACAGGUGGUUCACUUUGGUUUCUGCAGUUCUCUCCACAGAAUCAGUUCCUACUCUUGAGAUGGUACGCUGGUGUUGCUGCGGUUUGUUCCACGAAUCCGCUAUUUAACUGAGGUCUGUGCUCAUGCUAUUCGUGUUCUCGAAAGAGCUGAUGAUGAAGAGCUCCAAUGUUAUUUACUUCAACUGGUUCAAGAUAUGCGGUUUGAACGCUCAAAUAAAUCUCGUCUUUCUCAGUUUCUCGUGUAGCGUCGUAUGCCAGCUCACUAACGAACAUUGAGUUUGCUAGCUUCCUUAGAUGGUAUGUUGCUGUCGAACUUCAGGAUCCUGCAUACGCGAAAUGUUUUUAUUGUACGUACGGGAUGCUGGAAGAAAAUAUGAUAAAGUUGGGAAUUGACAGUGGAGAUGGCUUUAAGUCUCGUUCGCCAGACCGAAUUGACAGCUCAGCUGUGUUCCAUAAUGCGAGACGUAAGAAACGUACGAGGCGGAACUCAAAAGAAAAUUGAAAAGCUUCGGCAUCUUCUUUCGGGACUUCUUAGUGAACUUACAUACUUUGUGGAGCCUAUACGAUCGCCUUUGGCUCUAAAGAUGAAGUUAUUAAAAUCAAAUCUGGUAGGUUGAGAAGGCUUAUGCUGGAGGCUGUUACGUUUGGUUCAUGUUGUGGGAUGUUGAGAGCUACGUGGGUUCCAAGAUCAGGUCCAGAUGAUGAUAGCGGAGUCUUCAUGAGAGGCAUGAUGGAGUGGACACAUGUAUGGAUGGUGGGAUUGCAUGCCUAGGAUCGAACACUACAUAUGAUAACAAGGCAUUUUGUAUUACAAAGAAUAUGAAGAUGUCUAUUGUUUUAUUAGUGACACUGAUAAUUGUGUGAUUUAUUUUAUAUUGUAAAUAAAUAACAGUUUUAAGUAAUCAAAUUAAUUUGAUGAACA